rnacentral:lncRNA from 1 species
GAUCAAUUCCCUCCGUCAGCUGUGCAGUGCUGGGCUCAUCCCUCCCCUCCGUCAGCCACAGGCGGAGGGUCUCGGUGUCCUCUCGCCUGACUUUGGUAUGUGGCUACAUUCGAGUGGAAUAAAGAUACUAAUCGUAAAGUGCAGUCUACUGAACUGUUUAAUGUCACUGGAUGAACUCUGAUCUCUCCCAGGUGUCAUUGACCUGUGGAGCACUGUGCUGCCACAAGAGGAGCAGUCAGGCUGCAUCCCUCCUCGGGUUUUUAGUUUCAGUGAAGCAACUGAAUCUGACUGUUUUGUGGAUGAGACACUUGAGCAGGUAGGAGAUGUCUCUUCCUUUUACUGGCUCAGCUUCAGUUUGAUUGCCAUAGUAACUGUUUGCUAAAUGGGGCUCUCUUCAUAUUUAACUCAGAAAGCAUGUGAGCACCAGCAAGAGGAAGCGCUGGGACGCUUCCCUCAAGGUGUCUCCUGUUCCCUGCUGACGGGCCUCCACCACGGCCCCCUGUCCGAGGAGCCUGUAGCCAGUGGCAAGCAGGACAGCAGCUCCGCCCUCAGCCCUGUGCGCAGCUUGAUUUCGAAUAGCUCUGCUCCUUCUGAAACCACCGACGAGAGCCCCCACAAAGCCCGACUAAAGACGGAUGAGACCUUUGUCCAGAGCGCCACUGCCAGGCUGGAUCAUUGCAAAGUGGGCUGCUGGUGGAAACAGGACACUGAGACCUGCGGAGCCUCCAGUGGCCUCUUAUCUGCUGCAGAACCAGCAGCCGCUUUCACAUCAGAUAAUCCUCUCGUUUUACGUCGGCCACAUUCAUACAGUCUGCUCACCUUUAUGGACAAAAGAGAUGGCAAACAGGUAUUACUAUCUCUCUCUCACUCUCUCACUCUCUCACUCUCACACACACACACACACACACACACACACACACAUACUCACACACACACACACACACACACACACACACACACACACACACACACACACACACACACACACACACACACACACACACACACACACACACACACACACACACACACACACACACACACACACACACACACACACACACAGUUGUGGUGUGUUCAUCGUGAGGAUAUCCACACUGGUCAGUAG